GAAAUCUCCUCCGUGUCUGCGUGUUGAUUUUGUACCUUGCACUCCCAGUCCAGGCCCCCCAACCCUGUUUCUCGAGGGGGCCCGCGGACAAAAACAGCAAAAACCACGGUCAGAGUCUCACUGUGUCGCCCAGGCUGCCCUUGCGCUCACCACAGUGCUCCUGCCUCAGCCUCCCAAGCACUGGGACCACACACCUGAACCACCGCACCCAGCUCGCACACAGUGGCUUGGACAUGAAUAUCUCCAGACACCGCUGGCUAAAGGCUUCAUCCCCUCUUGGCUGUAGAGGACCCUGAGACCCCAGUGCCUCCCUUCCCUCCUGCGUCCUGGCCACGAGCUACCUUGACAUCAGCAACUUUUUGUCUACCAGGCCCCUCUGCUGUCCUGUUUCUACCUUGAGCCAGCCAAUCACGGUUUUAAGGCGCCAAUGGCUUAAUCACUUCCCACUUUCGCGGACCGUUCCUUUGGGAGCUGCCGGGGUUGGAGCCCCUCUGUGCGUGUAACGCUGCCUUGCAUCUCAAACUCCACUCACAUCCUCUCCUCCGCAAGCAGAAUCCAGCCCAGGCCACAGCACUCUGUGUCUGGUGAGGACUGAGCCAGGGCCCGUUCUCCCUGGGAAGAUGAGGAAGGUCCCAGGCCUGGAGGCGCAGGGCCAGGUUUCUACCCUGUCGGGUGCGUGGUUGCCCUCCCCUCUGGGUGCCUGCUUCUGGGUGUAGCUGGAAGGCGGCUGCCCGCGCCCUUUCUUGGGUCUCCCGGUGGACGGGGCAGACGCUCCUUCCUCCUCCCGAUGCCCAGUGGAAUCCACCCGCGCCACCUCGCCGGCUGCCCCCAGUUCCUGGCCCCCCAGAGGGUGAGUCCUCGAGCCUGGAGAAGGGAGGACAGUGUGGGUGUCCCAGAGCCUGGGGGCAUGGGCUCACUGAAUUUAGGGCUUCCAGCUGGCUCCAUGCAAGAAGAGGCCACACUGAGGGCGUGACAGGAAGGUCCCAGCUCCCUCCUGCCUCCUCCCUUGACUGUUUCCUGUCCCCCACUCCGUGAGCGGCUCUGUCUGCUCGGCUGUGUGCCACGCCCCACCCUGGAGCACCAAAUAUGGGCCCAAAGCUCUUGGAGAAGUAGCAGGCAUCGUCCCCAUCCUCAGAAUCGGGUCACGCACACAGCGAAGUUUGGCUUUGAAGUCGCUGAGGUGUCCAGGAAGCUCCGGGGAAACCUCAGAGUCGCUUCCAGUCAGACAAAUGCAGAUGGCACCACCUGCAUCAAGAAGGGUGGGAGGGGGUGGCAGGAGCCGGGCACUGCCGGCUCAUGGCCCCAAGGCGGCGCGGACCACGCCGGGCUGGUUACACCGACCAAGGUAAGAACAAUCCGUCACUCCGUCAGGAUCCCAGGCACACUCGUCACGGUCUCUGGGACCGACGGUCCUAACCCUGCGGCGAGCAGGCCACAUCCUACCCUGUGAGAACUUGCAUUUGGGUCUGGAGAAAAGAACCCGCAGGGAAACCAGUGCGGUACAGAAUUUGUCCAGAUUCGCUCCUUCAGGGAAGAGCUCUGAAACCCUCCAGCACGGUUGACUCGUUAGUGGAAAAGUCCUUCAAAAUGAGAAAAUAUAGUUUGUCCCUCUGUUUUCGGAGGGAAGAACUUUAAGAAUACUUAAAUAGAAGGGGAGGGGAAAGGAAAUAAGGAAAAAGAAAAAAUGUGAAAAAAGGAAACAAAGUC